rnacentral:tRNA from 1 species
GUCCCUGUAGCGCAAUGGAUAGCGCGUUGGACUUCUAAUCCAGAGAUCGUGGGUUCGAAUUUUACCUGGGAUG